CCUACGGGUGGCUGCAGUGGGGAAUAUUGGACAAUGGGGGGAACCCUGAUCCAGCCAUGCCGCGUGUGUGAAGAAGGCCCUCGGGUUGUAAAGCACUUUCAGUGAGGAAGAACGCCUGGUGGUUAAUACCCAUCAGGAAAGACAUCACUCACAGAAGAAGCACCGGCUAACUCCGUGCCAGCAGCCGCGGUAAUACGGAGGGUGCGAGCGUUAAUCGGAAUUACUGGGCGUAAAGCGCGCGUAGGUGGCUUGAUAAGCCGGUUGUGAAAGCCCCGGGCUCAACCUGGGAACGGCAUCCGGAACUGUCAAGCUAGAGUGCAGGAGAGGAAGGUAGAAUUCCCGGUGUAGCGGUGAAAUGCGUAGAGAUCGGGAGGAGUACCAGUGGCGAAGGCGGCCUUCUGGACUGACACUGACACUGAGGUGCGAAAGCGUGGGUAGCAAACAGGAUUAGAUACCCCUGUAGUC
rnacentral:rRNA from 1 species